GUAAGAUAGGAGCUAAUAAACAGAUAGGAAACACAUCCUGAUUAACUGACGGUAGGUGACACCCUCACACCUAAGACCAUGUAUGAGACUAAAAGGUGAAUCAUUAGGCUUUAAUACUUUGUAUAGGAUAUGACAAUUUCACGGUGAGAUUGCUUUGACUCACGUCUUUUAAACGGCAGAAUGCUUGCUCCAGUCAUUAUUACAAUUCAUAAUUCUACGAGGACAUUGUUAUUUUCAUUAUAGAAAUACAAUAGUAUUUGUUUUCAUGCCUCUCGUGCCACAUACAGAGAACAGCAUUGGAGUAAUCUUCGGUUGAUUAAAUAUUUAAUGAGCAUUUCUUGAAACCUUGUCUUAGUAAUGUCCACUAGACAGCCUGGUUUGCCUCGGCAAGGGAAAUUAAGUUGUUGCAGCACACCUGUGUCCAUUUCCUCAGGCCUCACAUGGUAAUUCAGAAAUUAUUUCCCUCAGCACUGUGGCAGCGAGAAUGUUAAAUUUGCAUUGGGACUGAAAAGCUUGUCUUUAACAAUGACCACAUUCAUAUUUUAGUAUGAAGAACACGUGCAUUUUGACUGUGUUUAUAGAUGUUGGCUUUCACAGAAGUGCAUCUGUAAUUUCAAACACCAGCCAUGAAAAGCUCCAUGCAGUAAAUGUAGGCCAAGCAUUCACUAGGUGAUUGUACAGGACAAGUUCUGGACCACUUUCACAUUGAGAUUUUUUAGUGCUCAACUGUUUCCAACCUCAUCUGUAACUUGGUCAGUCAUGUUCUGACAUACUGGAUGUUUCCUCUGCACCAAGUUGUUGAUUGUGAUUGUCUGGUCAAUGACGUUUCAACAGUGUGUGUGAAUACCACAUGUUGAGAAACUCUUGAAGUUCUGAGAUCAUUCAGUUUAAAAUGUGGCUGUGGCAACACUGAAUACAUUAUGAUGUUGUGUUUUCCUACAAGAAAACCAGAAAGUUUUAUUUUUUUUGACAGACUUAGCAUGCUUACUUUCCUCCAUAUGUAUUAAACAUCUAUAGUUCUAAUGUUUUUUUGUUGUUAUUGUUUUUAAUUAGCAAUUUUGAUUAACAUAUCUGGUACUAUUACCUGAAAAAUACUGUCAGCUAAAGUGAUCUAUGACACAACCAUAAACUAUAGCAGCUCACCAGGAGGAACCCUAUCACUCGCAGUUAUGAGAGCCGUUUAAUUAAGUUCAGAACAUUUUUAUUAGGGGUCUCUAUUUGGAGGCCACUUUUAAUAAUUCCCUUCAUAAAAGAUGGAUUUUCUUCAUUCUUUUUUUUGCCAACAAAUCCUACUGACCAAUACUGAUUGUGAAUCAGUGCCUGAAUUCACUUGAUUUUCUUUGCAUUUAACCUCACUGUUGCUGAAGAAUUAUGUACAAUGUACAUCUUAUAUAAGUCUGGUAUGUAAUAGCGUUAAAAGAAACACCAGUGCAUUUGACGAUCGACAGUUUUUGGACCACAAUAGAGCAUUCCUCUGACAUUUGAAAUGAUUUAGGAGAAAUAAAAGUGGCAUCAGUGGCAGUGAGCACAAUGUGAAACUCUGGGUUAGAUUGUGAUUUUCACCAAAUACUUUGUUGUUUUUCUGUUUUUGGUAAAAAAAAAAAAAAAAAAAAAAAAAAGACCUUAAUUCCUUCUUCUUGGCUACCUAUAUGUCAGACAGAGCUACUAGAGCUAAAUUUAAGUUAUAUUUUUCAUUCUAAUUUGAAUAUUUUAAUGCACAUUCCAAUUGUUCCCCAUUUUAUCAAGGGAAGUGUGUCUCCACUAAUGACUGUUGAACUGACAUAUUUUGUUGUUAGACUUAUUCGAUAUUUAAAAAAAAAGAAAAUUUAUGCAAAAUACCAGUUACUUUCUUCUCUUUAUACAAAACUGUGUGGGUGCAGCUAAUCACUUGGACAAUUAAUUUUUUUUAUAAGGCAUCAAAAACAUGAAAAGAAUGUUUUUCUCAAAUCUCUCUCUACUAUUCAAAAUCACAAAAGGACGUUAACUUUUAAACGCCAAUAAAAGACAACCUCCAAACAUCAUUCAGAAUCAAACACAUAGUUAUGGUUGUGAAACAAAAAGAUUGCUUGUUAAUUUCAGUGUACAAAGGAGCUCAUGGCAUAAAAUGUUUUACUGCAUUGCACUGAAAUAGCAAUAGAACAGUUGUUUUUUUUCAGUGAUGGAGAAGCAUUUUUAGUUUGAGUGCCCACAGACCAUGAACCCACCUGAGAGAUGAGACCAGAUUUAGAGUGCGCACACUGAAUUGAUUCAGAGUAGAAGCUUGUGUUUGAUUGAGAGGCACUGAAGCAGGUUAUAAAGAUCUCACUGACUGACAGCCUGAGGGAGGAAAACAGUUAAACUUUUUGUUUGCAUAGUCUGACUUGUUAUGAAGAGUUUGUCUGAGGUGGUCUCACAGAUGUAUACCUUCUAGCCUCAAGUCAGACGGGAAACUCAGGGUCUCUUUUGGCAUGUGAAAAAUCAGAUUUCAUCCUGGGGCAUCACCUUUUUUGACGUUUUCUUGGUCUUGUCAGUAACAUGGGUCUGCAGAGCUAAGUAUAAAAUAAAAGGUAUCAUUCAUAUAUUGUAGAGCAUUGUCAGUUCAUUAAUUUGUGUAUUGGAACAGUAAGUACUUUGUGUUAGUUCAAUACUGUAAAAUUGUUCUCCAUCUCUGUCUUUUACUUCCUCUCUUCAUACAGUUCUAUUUCUGACAUCUUUGGUCCAGAAGCCAUAGGAAACCUUGAAGACGCAGAGAGGACCUCAGCAGCACAAAAACGAACAUCCAGCUCCAGAGGAAGUGAUGCAGCUUCAUCGCCUGUUAGGGGAAAGCGACGACGUAAAACACCAAGAACAACCCCAGACAGUGGUGACCUCCUGCAUCGGGACAUAGUGCCCCAUUACACCACAGAAACUGCUCAGGAACAUGUCAAGAACCCAAGACGUUGAGUUCGCCUCCAAACUCAAUCCUAUUGAGUGACGCGCCAUAAAAAGGCCAUACCACAACAGGCUCAUCCCAAAGGAUCUGCUGCCAAUGUCCCAGAGCCAGACACCUCCAGAAGUCCCGUGAUCAGGCCUCGACAGCUCAGACCUGCACAGUAUUAGGGAGCCUCUGCAAUGAGAAACUAAUUGCAAACGGGAAAGGGGCCUGCAGGGGCACCUGCUUCUUGGAUCACACCCAU
ensembl:lncRNA